GCUAUUUGUUGCUAGGUUUAUGGAGCCCUAUUUGAGUUUGCAUUUAAGGACAGCCCAGACGAGAUGAUCAAACGACCGAUUUGAUCAGAAAAUAAAUAGGCGACUAGAGUCAGACCAAGAUAAGUUGGCAACGAUUUUGACAGCCCAUACAGUGCAGGUGUUAUUUUAAACGUCAAAUUUAUAUGAAAUUAUGACGUUUGCACAGGCUAUCAAAAUCGCUGCUGAUUUAGAUUGGUCCGACUCUAUCUCUAAUGUAAUCAUCAAUUUUAUACUUAUUUGAGCGCUCUUAAUUAAAAAAUAAUUAUAUAUUAGUAUUCUUGCGUCCGCACCUGCAUGUUAUCGUAAUAUCUGUCAUAAUCGGCAAUUUAAUCAGAUUGGCGAAUAAUUGUUCCCGUCUGGACUGGCCUUACAUGGGCCUUACAUUGUGUCACUUUUGUUUACCAAACAAAAGAAAGAUCAGGAGUAUCCGAACGCAAACUGUCAAUGUCAAUGUGAUACUGAGACGAGUGAGAUCUGCGAGAUGUCAAAGUCAAAUCGAUUUAGUUUGGUAUGCUGUUGCUGCUGCAGCUUUUGUGAUGAUCGAAGUUCUAUUCUAUUGAAGUGUGUAUUAAAUGUUGACUGACCUGAAUAAUUUACGCUCGUUAUAUAUAAUUUGUAUCACAAUGAGCAAGUGUGCUGUAAUUGGAUGUAAAUCAGAACACAAUCCUUUUAAUAGCGGUGUAACAUUUCAUCGGUAAUUAAUAAUAAUAUUCGUGUUACAAGAAACAAGAAAUAUUUGCCGCUAUGGGAAAGAGUCGUAAAAAUAAAACCGAAAUCAGUACAUGCCAAGAUAUGCAGUCUGCAUUUCAAAGAGAAGGAUUUUGUUGAAGGCAGAGGAAGCCGUGUGCUCAAACCUGGUGCUGUGCCGUCUGUAAAUAUUGUUAACAAGGACAGUUCAACAGAUGAUGAUGAUGACAAUGAAAAGUUGUCUUUACUGAAGAGGGCACUUUCAAGAAGCAAGGGAGAUUCUACUACCACUGGACGUGCGGAGAAAACAACUCGGUCAGAUUCUGAUGAAUAUGAUCAGAAUCCCAAUUUACCUCAGAAGUUUCAAAUGGUGGUGCCAUGCACAUGUUGCAAUUCAGUCCAGUCUUCAAGCUCAUUCCCAAAACAAACUAGCAACAUGGGAGUACAAACCAAAAUAAAAACAAAUAAGGAAAUAUCACUACAAGCAAAAGUGAAACUCCUCGAGUUGAGACUCAGAAGGAGAGAUGCAAAAAUCAGCUACAUGCAAACAGUUUUAAACAUGAUCAAGAAACAUACUAAAGGUACAGAUAUGGAAUACAAGUUAUGUUGUGAACUCCAGAAUAUUUCCCAGUUUUCAGAGACAAUAGACAGUAGUCAUAAGGAUAAAAGAAAAAGUAAUCGAAGUAAAACUAGAUAUGGUAGGGUUGAAAGUCCUGUUAGCGAAGUAUCAAUCGGGGAUGAAGAUGCCUGCACAUUUUAUGAAGUGGUACAUAGUCCUAAUCUAAAGACCUUCAAUGGUUUUAGUUGAAAUCUGAUUAGUUACGAAUUCAAGGGCGUAGCCUGCCAGUGAACUAGGGGGGGCGGGGUCAAGUUGAUAGCGCCGGAGAUCUAGGAAGGCAGACGCGUGCAGCUUCCCCCCGCCCGUACCGGCCCAUGGUUACAAUUCUUAUAGUGUAGUUUUAUAAGAGACUUUUAGGCCUGAAUAAAGAGACUGAUUAUUACUA